rnacentral:misc_RNA from 1 species
CGGCUAGGGUUUCUCUAUUUCUCUCUCUACCUUAUUCUCUUUCCUCUCUCUAACUCAAUCCAAUCCCCUCUUGUUUACAGAUCUCUGUGUAUAAUUUUACCAUGGAGGACUUGUUUACUUAGGGUUUCCUAGUCGCCUUUCCAAGUAGAAUCCUCGAGUGUUUUGGGGGUUUUGCUCUUCUCCGCUGAUUUUUUCAUCUCAAAUGGCGACUUUGAACCCUUUCGAUUUGUUGGUUGACGAUGACGCCGAGGACCUU